CGGGGCGUAGCGCAGCCCGGUUAGCGCGCCUGCUUCGGCAGCAGGAGGUCCCGGGUUCAAAUCCCGGCGCCCCGA
rnacentral:tRNA from 1 species